UUUCCAGUUACCUUGGCGAUGUAAAGCCUGACGUUCCUGGAGAAUCCCGGCCUGAGCUCCUCUGCCUGCAGGACAACACAUGAAGGUCACCAGGACAACACAUGAAGGUCACCAGUUAGAGAGAAAUAAACACUUCUCUGUUACUGGCGGAGCUAAACGUCAGAAUGUGACUUUCAUUUGUUCCAUGUUUCCAGUGAACUGACUUAUUCAAUUUAACCAGACAGAUGCAGUUGCAAAUCAGGAAACAGUCAAAAUGGCAACUAAUUGUUAGCAUGUAUGUCAAAGUAUUUCAGGUAACUGAUAUCAGAGGUCUGGUUUAAUCCCACUAAAGUGACUAGAGUCAAAUGUAGAAGGAUCUUCAGGGAUUUAUAGUAAACUAGGAUUAUAAUCCUUACCACAGUUAACCAUAAAACAUUAUUGAUAUUUGUUCAAAAUAUACAACUGUGAUAGCUAUCUCUACCUUGUUUCUUACUGCUCACCCAGGGAAAUAAACCAAACUAAUUUAUUGUUAUUCGGGAUAAUUCUUGUUGCUUUAAAAGAAAAAUAAAGAAUAUCUAAAAAACUUGG